rnacentral:rRNA from 1 species
UACGUAGGGUGCAAGCGUUGUCCGGAAUUAUUGGGCGUAAAGAGCUCGUAGGCGGUCUGUUGCGUCGGCUGUGAAAACCCGAGGCUCAACCUCGGGCCUGCAGCCGAUACGGGCAGACUAGAGUUCGGCAGGGGAGACUGGAAUUCCUGGUGUAGCGGUGAAAUGCGCAGAUAUCAGGAGGAACACCGGUGGCGAAGGCGGGUCUCUGGGCCGAUACUGACGCUGAGGAGCGAAAGCAUGGGUAGCGAACAGG